GACGAACGCUGGCGGCGUGCCUAAUACAUGCAAGUAGAACGCUGAAGAGAGGAGCUUGCUCUUCUUGGAUGAGUUGCGAACGGGUGAGUAACGCGUAGGUAACCUGCCUUAUAGCGGGGGAUAACUAUUGGAAACGAUAGCUAAUACCGCAUAACAAUGGAUGACACAUGUCAUUUAUUUGAAAGGGGCAAUUGCUCCACUGCAAGAUGGACCUGCGUUGUAUUAGCUAGUAGGUGAGGUAACGGCUCACCUAGGCGACGAUACAUAGCCGACCUGAGAGGGUGAUCGGCCACACUGGGACUGAGACACGGCCCAGACUCCUACGGGAGGCAGCAGUAGGGAAUCUUCGGCAAUGGGGGCAACCCUGACCGAGCAACGCCGCGUGAGUGAAGAAGGUUUUCGGAUCGUAAAGCUCUGUUGUAAGUCAAGAACGAGUGUGAGAGUGGAAAGUUCACACUGUGACGGUAGCUUACCAGAAAGGGACGGCUAACUACGUGCCAGCAGCCGCGGUAAUACGUAGGUCCCGAGCGUUGUCCGGAUUUAUUGGGCGUAAAGCGAGCGCAGGCGGUUUGAUAAGUCUGAAGUUAAAGGCUGUGGCUCAACCAUAGUUCGCUUUGGAAACUGUCAAACUUGAGUGCAGAAGGGGAGAGUGGAAUUCCAUGUGUAGCGGUGAAAUGCGUAGAUAUAUGGAGGAACACCGGUGGCGAAAGCGGCUCUCUGGUCUGUAACUGACGCUGAGGCUCGAAAGCGUGGGGAGCGAACAGGAUUAGAUACCCUGGUAGUCCACGCCGUAAACGAUGAGUGCUAGGUGUUGGAUCCUUUCCGGGAUUCAGUGCCGCAGCUAACGCAUUAAGCACUCCGCCUGGGGAGUACGACCGCAAGGUUGAAACUCAAAGGAAUUGACGGGGGCCCGCACAAGCGGUGGAGCAUGUGGUUUAAUUCGAAGCAACGCGAAGAACCUUACCAGGUCUUGACAUCCCGAUGCUAUUUCUAGAGAUAGAAAGUUACUUCGGUACAUCGGUGACAGGUGGUGCAUGGUUGUCGUCAGCUCGUGUCGUGAGAUGUUGGGUUAAGUCCCGCAACGAGCGCAACCCCUAUUGUUAGUUGCCAUCAUUCAGUUGGGCACUCUAGCGAGACUGCCGGUAAUAAACCGGAGGAAGGUGGGGAUGACGUCAAAUCAUCAUGCCCCUUAUGACCUGGGCUACACACGUGCUACAAUGGUUGGUACAACGAGUUGCGAGUCGGUGACGGCAAGCUAAUCUCUUAAAGCCAAUCUCAGUUCGGAUUGUAGGCUGCAACUCGCCUACAUGAAGUCGGAAUCGCUAGUAAUCGCGGAUCAGCACGCCGCGGUGAAUACGUUCCCGGGCCU
rnacentral:rRNA from 1 species